UACGUAGGGUGCAAGCGUUGUCCGGAAUUAUUGGGCGUAAAGAGCUCGUAGGCGGUUUGUCGCGUCUGUUGUGAAAACUCGGGGCUCAACUCCGAGCUUGCAGUGGGUACGGGCAGACUAGAGUGCGGUAGGGGAGACUGGAAUUCCUGGUGUAGCGGUGGAAUGCGCAGAUAUCAGGAGGAACACCGGUGGCGAAGGCGGGUCUCUGGGCCGUAACUGACGCUGAGGAGCGAAAGCAUGGGGAGCGAACAGG
rnacentral:rRNA from 1 species